rnacentral:rRNA from 1 species
AGCGAACGCUGGCGGCAGGCUUAACACAUGCAAGUCGAGCGGGCCCUUCGGGGUCAGCGGCGGACGGGUGAGUAACGCGUGGGAACGUGCCCUCUGGUCUGGAAUAACCCUGGGAAACUAGGGCUAAUACCGGAUACGCCCUUUUGGGGAAAGGCUUGCUGCCGGAGGAUCGGCCCGCGUCUGAUUAGCUGGUUGGUGGGGUAACGGCCUACCAAGGCGACGAUCAGUAGCUGGUCUGAGAGGAUGAUCAGCCACACUGGGACUGAGACACGGCCCAGACUCCUACGGGAGGCAGCAGUGGGGAAUAUUGGACAAUGGGCGCAAGCCUGAUCCAGCCAUGCCGCGUGAGUGAUGAAGGCCUUAGGGUUGUAAAGCUCUUUUAUCCGGGACGAUAAUGACGGUACCGGAGGAAUAAGCCCCGGCUAACUUCGUGCCAGCCGCCGCCGUAACAC